rnacentral:rRNA from 1 species
AAUGAACGUUGGUGGCGUGGAUUAGGCAUGCAAGUCGAGCGAUGAAGCCCUUCGGGGCGGAUUAGCGGCAAACGGGGUAGUCAUACAUCGGUGACGUGCCCCCAGGACCGGGAUAGCCACGGGAAACUGUGGGUAAUACCGGAUGAUCUCCCGAGUUUAAAGGCUCCGGAGCAAAUGUUUUUUCGCCUGGGGAGCGGCUGAUGCGGUACUAGUUAGUUGGCGGGGUAAUGGCCCACCAAGACGAAGAUGCCCAGGGGGUGUGAGAGCACGACCCCCACCACCGGGACUGAGAUACUGCCCGGACAUCUACGGAUGGCUGCAGUCGAGAAUCUUCCACAAUGGACGCAAGUCUGAUGGAGCGACGCCACGUGCGGGAUGAAGGCCCUUGGGUUGUAAACCGCUGUCAGAGGGGAUGAAAGCCUUCGGGUUUGACAGAGCCUCAAAGGAAGCGCGGGCUAAGUACGUGCCAGCAGCCGCCGUAAAAC